UACGUAGGGGGCAAGCGUUGUCCUGAUUUAUUGGGCGUAAAGAGCGUGUAGGCGGCUUUACAGGUCCGUUGUGAAAACUCGAGGCUCAACCUCGAGACGCCGGUGGAAACCGUAAAGCUAGAGUCCGGAAGAGGAGAGUGGAAUUCCUGGUGUAGCGGUGAAAUGCGCAGAUAUCAGGAGGAACACCGGUGGCGAAGGCGGGUCUCUGGGCCGAUACUGACGCUGAGGAGCGAAAGCGUGGGGAGCGAACAGG
rnacentral:rRNA from 1 species